AGAUAUAAAGAUUAAACUUUUUUUAGAA
rnacentral:tRNA from 1 species